GUGUUUUCAAGAGGUUUUCUGGAAAUGAGUUGCCUGGGUAUGAUGAUGGUGAUGUGGGUUCAGCAAGGUUUGACAAACCUAUAAGCUUUGCAGUUGAUGUGAGACUUGGACCAAAGUAUCACGGGUCUCUCUAAUUGUUCUCUCCGGUAAUUUUUCACUACUUAUUAUUAGAUUAUUAGAUCUUACUAUUUAAUGGGGAAAAAUAUAACCGAUUGAUUUUUAUAAUUCUUUCUCGAUCCGGUUUUGUUCAACUGUUUGUGUGAUUGUUUAUGAUCAAUUUGCAAAUUAGUGAACUGAGAUCUAUCUUACAGGAAACAAUUAAGGAUUAUUAGCACUAUGGUAGGUUAGUUUUUAGGAUUAAUAGCAUUAGGGUAGGUUAGUUCAUCAUUCCAGUGAAUCUGGGAUUUUAAGUUCAUUUUUUAAGUCUUUUGAUUAACAAGUUAAGAUUUUUAAAGUACAUAUGUUCUUAGUUAUAGUGUUUUUUUUUGUUUCAGCAUUAGAAAAUUUUUAAAGUUUCAUAAAUCUGGGAUUUUUGUUGUUAUGGGCUUAUGCUUUUUGAUGAAUAAUGUUAAAGUUCUGAUUUUUAAUGUUCUGAUUUUGUUGUUUCACCAUUAGUUUUAAUGUUCUGAUUUUUAGAUUGUAUGUAUUUGAAAGUUCCAUUCUUCAUGUCCUCUGUACUAUGCUUUUCUGAUUUUGUUGUUAUAUUUUUAAGGUUAUUGAUGCAAAAUGUCAAAGUUACCUUUUGUAAACUACUGAUUACAUUUUCUUAUAGUUUUCUUUGUUAUUUCACCAUUAGAAAGUUUAGAUUUAUAGUGAACUUUGUAGUUUUCCGCUUUUCUUAUGGUUACUUUAAGGAAAUGAACAAGAUUGUUAGUGGUAUAAGAUUUUGCCAAAUGAAACAGAUUGUUAGUGUUGUACUUCAACAGAAUGACCAUCCCAAGAUCAAAAGAAGGGGGUGAAGAUCUUAUUGUAAAGCACACUUUGUCUCACACUGAAGCUUUAUGUGGUUUUCAGUUUUCCCUGACUCAGUUCAACAACUCUUGAUUAAGUCAAAUCCUGGAGAAGUUAUUAAGCCUGAUUCUUACAAGGAACUUAAUGGUGAAGGCAGUUCUCACAGAGGGCUUGGAUAUUCAUUAUGGUUUACUUACCGAUAUUUGCUGUUCAAAAGAAAUAGAGAUGAGUUGUCUGAUAUAAUAGAGGGACUCAAGGAAUAAGUGUUUGGUUAAGAAGAUUAAUAGUUGUUAUGAAACAGUGAAUUAAUAUCUAGACUGUAUAGUUGUUAGGGUAUGCAUCAGUUUGAUCUAUAUGUAUUGACAAUCUAUUUACUUGCUUGGUAUGAAAUUCUGGUCAAGUGUAAGUGAUCCAUGAAAUUAUGUUGUUGUCAUAUUAUUAAUAAUUUCUUUACUACUACUUUUUUUCUUUAA